rnacentral:misc_RNA from 1 species
GAUGAAGAACGUAGCGAAAUGCGAUAAGUAAUGUGAAUUGCAGAAUUCAGUGAAUCAUCGAAUCUUUGAACGCACAUUGCGCCCGCCAGUAUUCUGGCGGGCAUGCCUGUCCGAGCGUCAUUUCAACCCUCGAACCCCUCCGGGGGGUCGGCGUUGGGGACCUCGGGAGCCCCUAAGACGGGAUCCCGGCCCCGAAAUACAGUGGCGGUCUCGCCGCAGCCUCUCCUGCGCAGUAGUUUGCACAACUCGCACCGGGAGCGCGGCGCGUCCACGUCCGUAAAACACCCAACUUCUGAAAUGUUGACCUCGGAUCAGGUAGGAAUACCCGCUGAACUUAAGCAUAUAAUAAGCGGAGGA